GUAGUUAGCCGGGGCUUCCUCCUUGGGUACCGUCACUUUCUUCGUCCCCAAGGACAGAGGUUUACAAUCCGAAAACCUUCAUCCCUCACGCGGCGUUGCUGCAUCAGAGUUUCCUCCAUUGUGCAAUAUUCCCCACUGCUGCCUCCCGUAGGAGUCUGGACCGUGUCUCAGUUCCAGUGUGGCCGAUCAGCCUCUCAGCUCGGCUACCCAUCGCGGACUUGGUGGGCCGUUACCCCGCCAACUAUCUAAUGGGACGCGAGCCCCUCCCUUUGCGGAUUGCUCCUUUGACCUCAGAGCGAUGCCACUCCGUGGUCUUAUGCGGUAUUAGCAUCUGUUUCCAAAUGUUAUCCCCCUCAAAGGGUCAGGUUGCUCACGCGUUACUCACCCGUUCGCCACUCGGUACAAAACCGAAUCUUGUACCCCGUUGACUUGCAUGUGUUAGGCACGCCGCCAGCGUUCGUCCUGAGCCAUAAUCAAACUCUGA
rnacentral:rRNA from 1 species